UAGGAAUCUUCCACAAUGGGCGAAAGCCUGAUGGAGCGACGCCGCGUGAGGGAUGAAGGCCUUAGGGUUGUAAACCUCUAAAAGAGGGACGAUAAUGACGGUACCUCUUGAAUAGCACCGGCUAACUCCGUGCCAGCAGCCGCGGUAAUACGGAGGGUGCAAGCGUUAUCCGGAAUCACUGGGCGUAAAGGGCGCGUAGGCGGUCUGUUAAGUCCGAUGUUAAAUCCCGGGGCUCAACCCCGGAUAAGCGUAGGAUACUGGCAGGCUAGACGGUUGGAGAGGCGAGUGGAAUUACCAGUGUAGCCGUGGAAUGCGUAGAUACUGGUAGGAACACCCAUUGCGAAGGCAGCUCGCUGGACAACACGUGACGCUGAGGCGCGAAAGUGUGGGGAGCAAACC
rnacentral:rRNA from 1 species